rnacentral:rRNA from 1 species
GUGCCAGCCGCCGCGGUAAUACGUAGGCAGCGAGCGUUGUUCGGAGUUACUGGGCGUAAAGAGUGUGUAGGCGGUUUGCCAAGUUCGGUGUGAAAUCUCCCGGCUUAACUGGGAGGGUGCGCCGAAUACUGGCAGGCUAGAGUGCGGGAGAGGAAAGCGGAAUUCCUGGUGUAGCGGUGAAAUGCGUAGAUAUCAGGAGGAACACCUGCGGUGUAGACGGCUUUCUGGACCGCCACUGACGCUGAGACACGAAAGCGUGGGUAGCAAACAGGAUUAGAAACCCGUGUAGUCC